AAACUAUUUCAUUCUUUCCUAUGUUUUAUAUACAGGUUGUAUUGGGUUGGCAGGAGAUUUUGUGUUUAAUUAUUUCCCCAACAAUUUAGCAAUGAGGAUAGGAUCUUUCUGGCAAUUUCUGAAUUGGGUAGAUCAUCUGAAAGACUUGUGGUCACACAACAGUCAGAUUUCAUAAUAUUUACUGAUGGACCAUAUACUUGGGAUAAAUUGGCCAACUGAAGGUUUCUUAUGCUGUGGUGUCUGAUCAUGAGAUCUUGGAAGCUUAUGUUUUGUCUGGAAUUAAGUUGGCACAAGUAGACAUCUUGAGACAUAAAGUGAAAAGGACCUAGAAGGAACUACUGGAAGAAAUGUCACCCCUAUUAAACUGGGCAAUUUUGUUUAAAUAUGAGUGUUCUGGAGGAAACAUGCAUUGUCACCAGGCUGGAUGGGACCCUUUCAAGUGCCAUGAUCACUCAUAUGGGUAUCAGAGUGAAAGAAAAACCAGAUGGUUUCAUGCUUUCCAUGUGAAGCCAGCUCCUCAGGAGGACUAGACUGCAGUUUCCACAAAGGAUUUGAAGUUUAAUUUCCUAGAGUGACUAAUAUUGGUAAUGAACUCAACUGAAAGCAGGUAUUCUAAGGAAAGUAUUAUUCUGACUACCUUGCUGUCCUAGUUGCAAUAGUGUUUUGUUCAAUUACUAUAAGAAUCACAUUUUAUUAGAAAAUAAACAUGUUAUUUGUUACACCACUUUUUCUUUCUGUACUCCCAAUAAUGGUUCCUACAGUCACAUUUCCUCUCUCCUCUGAAUUGUAUUCCCAGUACAGAAAUGCUGGGCCUGCAUUUAUGAAUCCAACAGUCUGAUUAUUGGCCAAAUAAACACAAGACCAUGUUCAUUACUAUGUUUUAAUAUCAAAGUAAAAGUAACUACUAUGCAUCCAGAAACCAAAGCCCUAAAUUUCACACAAAAAAUUUGUUAACUGGUUUGAUUGGAAGUAUAGUAUAGAAAAGAAAUGCAUCUAAUUAAGUGUCUGGCAUUUAUGGAUAGAGACCUCAGAAGACAGCUCUAAUGUCAAUCGAUUAAUUUGAGAAUAGAAGUUUUCUCCAGUCCUACUAUGGAUAGAUAAACAAAGGUGGAUAUGCCUGUUAUCUAUGGAUAUUUAGUUAACUGUUAUAAUAAUAUAACUACUGGUUUGGACCAAGGUAAGAAAUGGCCCAAAAGUUGGGUUUGUCCUCCAGACUUAAAACUAUUAGAGCCAUGUACACUAAACACUGGAAAUUCAAUCUGUGCCCUUCAACGGGUACUUCAUAAUAAGACUUUGAUACUAUAUAAUGGCCAUGAGUGUCUUUGCAUUUUGCAUCUGGGAGAAAUUAUUUGGGAAGAUGGGAUAAUUACCAAAGGGCCUAGUUUAUCCUAUAAAUGCAAUAUUACUCCUGUGACUGCUGAGAACUCAGAGGAAAUUCAUUGGGCCUUACAAGAAAAACUCAGUUAAAAAAACAUAUAUUAUCAGGCUCCAGAGUUAAGCUAUUAACUUGGCUAGGAUAGGGAUUUCUUUCUUUUUUGUUUGUUUGUUUGUUUUCUGAAGAUGGAGUCUCGCUCAGUAGCCCAGGCUGGAGUGCAGUGGUGCGAUCUCAGCUCACUGCAACCUCCGCCUCCCGGGUUCAAGUGAUUCUCCUGCCUCGGCCUCCUGAGUAGCUGGGAUUAUAGGCGUGUUCCACCACGCCAGGUUAAUUUUUGUAUUUUUAGUAGAGACAGGGUUUCACCAUGUUGGUCAGGCUGGUCUCAAACUCCUGACCUCAUGAUCCGCUGGCCUCAGCCUCCCAAAGUGCUGGGAUUACAGGCGUGAGCCACUGUGCCUGGCCAGAUUUCAUUUUCUAAAACUACAAAAUAAUACUCAAGUAGUUAAUUAUUUGAAAGCAGAAACAAAGACAUGACAACAGUUUAUAAAAUUAAUGUAUCAUGAGGAUAAUUUUUGUGUAUGGCUAAUCAAAUAUCUGCUUUAACCAUUCACAACUGGUGUAUUUAAAGAUUCCCCCAAGAAAAAUAUUGUACUAAUUUUUGAUUCAUCCCAUUAUAAUUCUGAUAAUUGCUUUAUUUUGUAUUUUACCAUGGACUUGCUGGAUAUAAAUAUCUAAAGACUGCUGCAAACUGCCCAGAGAAAGGUUAAAAUGUCAGAGUAAACAAUUAGAAAACUGUAGUUUUAGUAGAAAAUAGUAACAAGGAAAAUUGUAAGGGUAAAUACAAAUCUAAAAAUGAAUUUUAAUUUAAAAUUUUCCUCAGUGCAAAAAGGAAAGAACUAUUUCGCCUCCCUUUUCUUUCAGCAUUUCCUUCAGAAAAUGGAAUUAUAAAUAAACUUCUUGCCAGUUUUGCAUCCUAGGAAUGUCAUUCUUAAUGGCCAAGGAGCCACUUCUUUUAAAAGUGAACACUAAAACAGGUGGUGCUCUCUUUCCCUGUGGAAAUUUAGCUCCAAGAUAUAACCUCCUGCUUAUCAAAAAUAUAUGAGAGGUUGUAUUUUUCCUUUGGAUAAAUACAAUUAACAUGUAUAUAAUAGAUUAACAUAUACAUAAAACAAAAGGGCAAGAGUUCUUUUUUGUCUUUGUAAUCUCUUUAGGGUAUUGCCUGUGAUGUGCAUCAUGGUCUGGUUUAAUGCUUAUUCAUUAUAUUUCAUUCUGUUCUACAUUCUGUGAAGAUAUUUUACUGGAUUGGCAGGAGAUUUUGUUUAGUCAUUUUCCCCCACCAUCAGCCAUGUACCUCAGGACAAAAGUUUUUCCCUAGACCUCUAACCCAGUGGCUAAAAUCCUGAAACACAGUGAUCUGCUGAAUUCACUUGUUGCAGGCUGCUCAAUAGCUGCCUAGAUUUUCUAGCUAAUUUAAUCAAACUCUACUUUAGUGACACUAAUGAGGUUAAGUGAAACCCUUAGUUUCAUCUGGAAAACAUACUGAUACCCUCAGCAUGCUAAAAGCACAUCGAUAUGCUCUAGGAUGCAUUCACACUUCAGUUCCCACCAGUUGAACUGUAUGCUUAAGAAGAGAUAAGCCCCAUUUACCUAUAAAUAAUUCAAAUCAGCAUUGCUUUAUUUUUAAAAUUAAUUUUAUUGGAGUAUAAUUCUCAGAGUAAAAUGCACCCACUUAAAUGUAAAGUUAAAUAAGUCUUGACAAAUGUGGAUACUAGCGUAUCUACCACAAUCAAGAUAUAGAAUAUUUCUAUACAACAAAAAGUUCCCUGUAGCAGCUUUGUAGUCAUUCCCUAACUCAUCACUGGCCUCAGACAACCACUGGUACUAUAGAUCAGUUUUGCUUGUUCCAGUAGUUCAUCUUAAUGGAAUCAUACAAUAUGUAUUGUUUGGCGUCUGGUUUCUUUUGUUCAAUGUGUUUUGGAAUCAACCCAUGAUGUUGCAUGUAGCAGUUUGCUGCAUCAGUAGUUUACUCCUUUUAUUAUGAAGUAAUAUUCCAUUGCAUUAAUGUACUACAUUUUUUGUUCUUUAAAUGUUGAUAGCUAUUUUUAUUGACUUCCAGUUUGGGACAAUAAUAAAUAAAGCUAUUAAGAGCAUUCAUGUGUAAGUUAUUUUGUGACCAUAUGUUUCCUUUUAUUUGGAAGGUAUAAGGAGGUAGAAGUCCAAAAUUCUGGGUAAUAUAAAAGUAUAUUGACCUUUGUAAAAAACAAAAACUACCAAGAUGGCUGACUGUACCAUGUUACACACUCACCAACAAUAUAUGAGUUCCAGUAGUUCCACAUCUUCCUCAAAACCUGAGAUUAUCAGUCUUUUUUAGUUUUAGUCAUUCCAGUGGGUAUAGACUGGUAUCUCAUUGUGUUUUUUAUUUGCAUCCUUCUGUUGACUAAUGAUGUUAAGCAUCUUUUAAAGUGCUUAAUGGCUAUUCAUAUCUCCUUUUGUGAGGUGUCUGUUUAAAUCUUUUUCUCAUUAAUAUUGUAUUGCUUGUCUUCUUACUAAGAUAUAAUAGUCAUUUAUAUAUUAUGGAUAAAAGCCCUUUAUCAGAUGUAUGUAUUGCAAAUAUUUUCUCUCUGCCUGUGAACUGCCUUCUAAUUUUCCUUUUGAAGAGCAGAAUUUGUCGUUUUUUAUGUUUAGUGCGAGGCUGUAAAGAUUUUCUCCUGGCCGGGCACGGAGGCUUACUCCUGUAAUCCCAGCACUUUGGGAAGCUGGGACGGGCGGAUCGCGACGUCAGGAGACCGAGACCAUCCUGGCUAACACGGUGAAACCCCAUCUCUACUAAAAAAAUACAAAAAAAUUAGCCGGGCAUGGUGGUGGGCUCCUUUAGUCCCAGCUACUCGGGGAGCUGAGGCAGGAGAAUGGCAUGAACCCGGGAGGCAGAGCUU